UACGGAGGGUGCAAACGUUGCUCGGAAUCAUUGGGCGUAAAGCGCACGUAGGCGGCCCGCUAAGUCGGAUGUGAAAUCCCUCGGCUCAACCGAGGACGUGCAUUCGAUACUGGCAGGCUUGAAUAUGGAAGAGGGUCGCGGAAUUCCCGGUGUAGAGGUGAAAUUCGUAGAUAUCGGGAGGAACACCAGUGGCGAAGGCGGCGACCUGGGCCAAUAUUGACGCUGAGG
rnacentral:rRNA from 1 species